rnacentral:rRNA from 1 species
UACGUAGGGUGCGAGCGUUGUCCGGAAUUAUUGGGCGUAAAGAGCUCGUAGGCGGUGUGUCACGUCGGCCGUGAAAACCUGCAGCUUAACUGUGGGCGUGCGGUCGAUACGGGCAUCACUGGAGUUCGGCAGGGGAGACUGGAAUUCCUGGUGUAGCGGUGAAAUGCGUAGAUAUCUGGAGGAACACCGGUGGCGAAGGCGGCAUCCUGGACCGAGACUGACACUGAGGAGCGAAAGCCAGGGGAGCAAACGGGG